UCGGGAAUUUUGGGCAAUGGGCGAAAGCCUGACCCAGCAACGCCGCGUGAAGGAUGAAGUAUUUCGGUAUGUAAACUUCGUAAGAAUAGGAAGAAUAAAUGACGGUACUAUUUGUAAGGUCCGGCUAACUACGUGCCAGCAGCCGCGGUAAUACGUAGGGACCAAGCGUUGUUCGGAUUUACUGGGCGUAAAGGGCGCGUAGGCGGUGUGUCAAGUCAGUUGUGAAAUCUCCGAGCUUAACUCGGAACGGUCAACUGAUACUGUCACACUAGAGUACAGAAGGGGCAAUCGGAAUUCUUGGUGUAGCGGUGAAAUGCGUAGAUAUCAAGAGGAACACAUGAGGCGAAGGCGGGUUGCUGGGCUGAUACUGACGCUGAGGCGCGAAAGCUAGGGUAGCAAACGGGAUUAGAUACCCGCGUAGUCCCUGAGCGGGCUGGCAAGGCGCAU
rnacentral:rRNA from 1 species